rnacentral:rRNA from 1 species
GAGUUUGAUCCUGGCUCAGAUUGAACGCUGGCGGCAGGCCUAACACAUGCAAGUCGAGCGGUAGCACAGGGAGCUUGCUCCUGGGUGACGAGCGGCGGACGGGUGAGUAAUGUCUGGGAAACUGCCUGAUGGAGGGGGAUAACUACUGGAAACGGUAGCUAAUACCGCAUAACGUCGCAAGACCAAAGAGGGGGACCUUCGGGCCUCUUGCCAUCAGAUGUGCCCAGAUGGGAUUAGCUAGUAGGUGGGGUAAUGGCUCACCUAGGCGACGAUCCCUAGCUGGUCUGAGAGGAUGACCAGCCACACUGGAACUGAGACACGGUCCAGACUCCUACGGGAGGCAGCAGUGGGGAAUAUUGCACAAUGGGCGCAAGCCUGAUGCAGCCAUGCCGCGUGUAUGAAGAAGGCCUUCGGGUUGUAAAGUACUUUCAGCGAGGAGGAAGGCAUUGUGGUUAAUAACCACAGUGAUUGACGUUACUCGCAGAAGAAGCACCGGCUAACUCCGUGCCAGCAGCCGCGGUAAUACGGAGGGUGCAAGCGUUAAUCGGAA